UAGUACUAUAUACAAUAUGUAUAUAGUAGGAUUCAAAAAAAGAUUAGGAAAAUCUAUCAUAAAUUACGUUUAUUAUAAUCUUAUAGGUUAGGAUUCGAAAACAUUAAGCGCUUUAUUUCAAUACGUUCAAUACGAAACUAAGCCAACAGGAUAUUUGUACAUUCUAAAUUGAAUCGAAAUAAAAGCUGGUAAUGCUUUGAAACGUGUAAUAAAUAUAAAUAAUGAGAGAAUUUCAAAGUAAUGAUUUCCUUUCUUGCUAGAAUACUUCCCUAAAAGGAGGAAUAAAACGAUCGGAUUACAAUCAAUUAAUUUUUCUCAUUCGAUCUUAUAGACAGAUAUUUCAUGGAUCUAAUGGAUAUAUAUAAAAAUAGAUCGUUUACUGUGUCGGGACAUGGCUACCCUGGUUUCCUCUUUCCGCUCCACUGGUGUUGCAUUUUAUCACGUGUUAUCGCGAUUCGCGGAUAAAAAAAGGAAAGGAAACAUCAUAGAAACUGGAUUUUCCGGUCAACGGUGUUUCUUUUUAUUUCGAUCGUGCACACGUUUCGACCGAAUGAGAUAAUAACAAAAUAAUUCUUGACGGAUAAUCAUAACGUCAUGAUAAAUUUCUAAACGAAGGAUUGUAAAUUGUGUAAUUGCAAUUUGAGGUUAAAUUAGAAAUUCGUAAGUUGAUUUUGUUUAUUAUUAAUUGAGUUUGUAUGUACAUCUUCUGGAUUAAGACCGUUAAUCAUUUAUAUUCUUUUUCUUUAGAUGACUUGUACAUAUUUAUAUUCGAUAUAAAUAUCAGAUCAAUUUCUAUAUCGUAAAACUUUAUACGUAACAUAGAGAUUCGAACAUCGUUAUUUCGUGUUAUAGUAUGAUUAAUUGUAUUAUUAUAUUACUCUGCUAUACGAGAUUAUUAAAUAUAAUAAGGAUGCGAGAUGUUAAAGAUACACUUUCUACGUUUUAGAAAAUUCGAUUAGAAGUUGAUCGAUCUUGUUUAGAAGCUUAUUCAUCGUUAAGGAAAAUGACAGAUCGAUUUAAACGAGUGUUGUGCAAGCAAAGAUUUCAAUUAUUGGAAAUAGCUGUUAACUGAAUUUGUUUUUGCGUACACGGGUAAAGAUAUCGCGUAAGAUCCUGCACGAUGCAACAUGGGAUCGCAUUCUUUGCCUUUUCUUGCGACAGUGCUAUUUCCCUUGUAAAUUUUAUUCGGAAAAAAAAUUUUAAUUACGCGAUUGCGAAAUUAUAAAACAAUAAAUUAAUUGUAAAAGAUAGAAAAUAUAUAUAUAUUUU